GACGAACGCUGGCGGCGUGCUUAACACAUGCCAGUCGAACGGAAAGGCCCUGCUUUUGUGGGGUGCUCGAGUGGCGAACGGGUGAGUAACACGUGAGUAACCUGCCCUUGACUUUGGGAUAACUUCAGGAAACUGGGGCUAAUACCGGAUAGGAGCUCCUGCUGCAUGGUGGGGGUUGGAAAGUUUCGGCGGUUGGGGAUGGACUCGCGGCUUAUCAGCUUGUUGGUGGGGUAGUGGCUUACCAAGGCUUUGACGGGUAGCCGGCCUGGGAGGGUGACCGGCCACGUUGGGACGGGGAUACGGCCCAGACUCCUACGGGACGCAGCGGUGGGGAAUAUUGCACAAUGGGCGGAAGCCUGAUGCAGCAACGCCGCGUGCGGGAUGACGGCCUUCGGGUUGUAAACCGCUUUCGCCUGUGACGAGGCGUGAGUGACGGUAAUGGGUAAAGAAGCACCGGCUAACUACGUG
rnacentral:rRNA from 1 species